rnacentral:rRNA from 1 species
AGAGUUUGAUCCUGGCUCAGGAUGAACGCUAGCGGCAGGCUUAAUACAUGCAAGUCGAGGGGCAGCAGGCUGUAGCAAUACAGUGCUGGCGACCGGCAAACGGGUGCGGAACACGUACGCAACCUUCCUUCAAGUGGGGAAUAGCCCAGGGAAACUUGGAUUAAUACCUCGUAACAUUAUGAAAUGGCAUCAUUUUAUAAUUAUAGUUCCGACGCUUGAAGAUGGGCGUGCGCCUGAUUAGGUAGUUGGCGGGGUAACGGCCCACCAAGCCUACGAUCAGUAACUGGUGUGAGAGCACGACCAGUCACACGGGCACUGAGACACGGGCCCGACUCCUACGGGAGGCAGCAGUAAGGAAUAUUGGUCAAUGGACGCAAGUCUGAACCAGCCAUGCCGCGUGGAGGAUGAAGGUCCUCUGGAUUGUAAACUUCUUUUAUCUGGGAAGAAAUCCAUAUUUUCUAAUGUGGUUGACGGUACCAGAUGAAUAAGCACCGGCUAACUCCGUGCCAGCAGCCGCGGUAAUACGGAGGGUGCAAGCGUUAUCCGGAUUCACUGGGUUUAAAGGGUGCGUAGGCGGGUUGGUAAGUCCGUGGUGAAAUCCCCAAGCUUAACUUGGGAACUGCCGUGGAUACUAUCAAUCUUGAAUAUCGUGGAGGUAAGCGGAAUAUGUCAUGUAGCGGUGAAAUGCUUAGAUAUGACAUAGAACACCAAUUGCGUAGGCAGCUUACUACACGAUGAUUGACGCUGAGGCACGAAAGCGUGGGGAGCAAACAGGAUUAGAUACCCUAGUAGUCC